rnacentral:pre_miRNA from 1 species
UUUGGCAAUGGUAGAACUCACACUGGUGAGGUCAUGGGAUCCGGUGGUUCUAGACUUGCCAACUC